rnacentral:rRNA from 1 species
UACAGAGGUGGCAAGCGUUGUUCGGAAUUACUGGGCGUAAAGGGCGCGUAGGUGGCCUUCUUAGUCAGACGUGAAAUCCCUGGGCUCAACCCAGGAACUGCACUCGAAACUACUUUUCUUGAGUGCCGGAGAGGAAAGCGGAAUACCUGGUGUAGAGGUGAAAUUCGUAGAUAUCAGGUGGAACACCAGUGGCGAAGGCGGCUUUCUGGACGGUAACUGACGCUGAGACGCGAAAGCGUGGGGAGCAAACAGG